GUCAGGAUGGCCUAGCUGUCUAAGGCGCUGCGUUUAGGUCGCAGAGUUUACUUUUGUGGGGGUGGGUUCGAAUCCCACUUCUGACA